rnacentral:rRNA from 1 species
GAUGAACGCUGGCGGCGUGCCUAAUACAUGCAAGUCGAACGCUGGAAAUCUAGCUUGCUCGAUUGAAGGAGUGGCGAACGGGUGAGUAAUACAUAAGCAACCUACCCACGAAGACUGGGAUAAUCUCUGGAAACGGGGACUAAUACCGGAUAGGUAAUCGGAAGGCAUCUUCUGAUUAUUAAAGGUUAAAAACACUGGUGGAUGGGCUUAUGGCGCAUUAGUUAGUUGGUGAGGUAACGGCCCACCAAGACGAUGAUGCGUAGCCGGCCUGAGAGGGUGAACGGCCACAUUGGGACUGAGACACGGCCCAGACUCCUACGGGAGGCAGCAGUAGGGAAUUUUCGGCAAUGGGGGAAACCCUGACCGAGCAACGCCGCGUGAGUGAUGACGGCCUUCGGGUUGUAAAGCUCUGUUGUAAGGGAAGAACGGCAGAUAGAGAAUAUCUAAAUGACGGUACCUUACCAGAAAGCCACGGCUAACUACGUG